UACGUAGGUCCCGAGCGUUGUCCGGAUUUAUUGGGCGUAAAGCGAGCGCAGGUGGUUUAUUAAGUCUGGUGUAAAAGGCAGUGGCUCAACGAUUGUAUGCAUUGGAAACUGGCAGACUUGAGUGCAGGAGAGGAGAGUGGAAUUCCAUGUGUAGCGGUGAAAUGCGUAGAUAUAUGGAGGAACACCGGUGGCGAAAGCGGCUCUCUGGCCUGUAACUGACACUGAGGCUCGAAAGCGUGGGGAGCAAACAGG
rnacentral:rRNA from 1 species